UUGUAUGACCAAAACACAGAUGAGAAAAAAGAACUUACAAGAAUCUUUGCAGUCAAGGAUUUAGAAGGGACUCUAGAGGACAGGACAUUAAGUGAAACUUCAGCAGCUGCAUGCUCAGCUUGUCUGAGAGUGGAACAGUAAGUGGGACUCUCAAAUAUCUCACCAUUGAAGUUAACAGAAGCUUUGAAUCUUGGAGCAUGAUCUGGUCCUUCUCUUAUGCAAGUAUAUGAUGGUCUAAAAGAGAAGACAAAAGGAAAAACCUACCUGCUGAAUUUUUGGUAUCUAAGGUUUGGCUAGUUAGUGUUGAAAGUAUGAUCUAAAAGAGGGACUUUUUUUGCAGAGGUUUUUGAGCUCUCUGCUCACAUGGUAAGGUUCUAAAUAAAAAGGAAGCUAGAGGAAGAUAAAAACAGUAAUAGUGUCAUUUCAACUGAAACAUAGUUCAUCUUUUUAUAUAAUUUCAUAACAUGUGCAUACAAAAUAACACUAAUGAAUGAACUAGCCCUAGUAUUGACUUUCUUUAUUGUCUU